UACGUAGGGGGCAAGCGUUGCCCGGAUUUAUUGGGCGUAAAGAGCUCGUAGGCGGUUUGUCGCGUCUGCCGUGAAAGUCCGGGGCUCAACUCCGGAUCUGCGGUGGGUACGGGCAGACUAGAGUGAUGUAGGGGAGACUGGAAUUCCUGGUGUAGCGGUGAAAUGCGCAGAUAUCAGGAGGAACACCGAUGGCGAAGGCAGGUCUCUGGGCAUUAACUGACGCUGAGGAGCGAAAGCAUGGGGAGCGAACAGG
rnacentral:rRNA from 1 species